rnacentral:lncRNA from 1 species
ACCUGCUUCCGUGAGCGCGGGGAGAAGCUGGGCACAGCUCGCUUUACUCCCAGUGGAGGGCGGGAAGCAUUUUCAACUUCUUUAAUGAGAAGCAUGUUCAGCCAGCAAAGAAGAAGAAGAAAAAUGGUUAUAGACAAGCAACCAACAGUAUCUGCCAUAGCUAUUUUAUAGCUGUUUAAACUUGGGGAAAUUUGGAUACACAAAGAGAUGCCAGGGAUUAACCUACCCAGAGGAAAGGCCACGUGAGGACACAGCAAGAAGGUGGCCGUCUGCAAGCCGAGAGAGGCCUCAGAAGAAGCCAAACCUGCUGAUACCUUGGACUUCCCAGCCUCCAGAUUUGUGAGAAA